GAUGAAGAACGUAGCGAAAUGCGAUAAGUAAUGUGAAUUGCAGAAUUCAGUGAAUCAUCGAGUCUUUGAACGCACAUUGCGCCCCCUGGUAUUCCGGGGGGCAUGCCUGUCCGAGCGUCAUUGCUGCCCUCAAGCACGGCUUGUGUGUUGGGCCUCCGUCCUCCUCCCGGGGGACGGGCCCGAAAGGCAGCGGCGGCACCGCGUCCGGUCCUCGAGCGUAUGGGGCUUCGUCACCCGCUCUUGUAGGCCCGGCCGGCGCUUGCCGACACAUCAAUCUUUUUUCCAGGUUGACCUCGGAUCAGGUAGGGAUACCCGCUGAACUUAAGCAUAUCAAUAAGCGGAGGA
rnacentral:misc_RNA from 1 species